CCUGGCUCACGUUGAACGCUAGCUACAGGCUUAACACAUGCAAGUCGAGGGGCAGCAUGGUCUUAGCUUGCUAAGGCCGAUGGCGACCGGCGCACGGGUGAGUAACACGUAUCCAACCUGCCGUCUACUCUUGGACAGCCUUCUGAAAGGAAGAUUAAUACAAGAUGGCAUCAUGAGUCCGCAUGUUCACAUGAUUAAAGGUAUUCCGGUAGACGAUGGGGAUGCGUUCCAUUAGAUAGUAGGCGGGGUAACGGCCCACCUAGUCUUCGAUGGAUAGGGGUUCUGAGAGGAAGGUCCCCCACAUUGGAACUGAGACACGGUCCAAACUCCUACGGGAGGCAGCAGUGAGGAAUAUUGGUCAAUGGGCGAGAGCCUGAACCAGCCAAGUAGCGUGAAGGAUGACUGCCCUAUGGGUUGUAAACUUCUUUUAUAAAGGAAUAAAGUCGGGUAUGGAUACCCGUUUGCAUGUACUUUAUGAAUAAGGAUCGGCUAACUCCGUGCCAGCAGCCGCGGUAAUACGGAGGAUCCGAGCGUUAUCCGGAUUUAUUGGGUUUAAAGGGAGCGUAGAUGGAUGUUUAAGUCAGUUGUGAAAGUUUGCGGCUCAACCGUAAAAUUGCAGUUGAUACUGGAUAUCUUGAGUGCAGUUGAGGCAGGCGGAAUUCGUGGUGUAGCGGUGAAAUGCUUAGAUAUCACGAAGAACUCCGAUUGCGAAGGCAGCCUGCUAAGCUGCAACUGACAUUGAGGCUCGAAAGUGUGGGUAUCAAACAGGAUUAGAUACCCUGGUAGUCCACACGGUAAACGAUGAAUACUCGCUGUUUGCGAUAUACAGCAAGCGGCCAAGCGAAAGCGUUAAGUAUUCCACCUGGGGAGUACGCCGGCAACGGUGAAACUCAAAGGAAUUGACGGGGGCCCGCACAAGCGGAGGAACAUGUGGUUUAAUUCGAUGAUACGCGAGGAACCUUACCCGGGCUUAAAUUGCAGAUGAAUUACGGUGAAAGCCGUAAGCCGCAAGGCAUCUGUGAAGGUGCUGCAUGGUUGUCGUCAGCUCGUGCCGUGAGGUGUCGGCUUAAGUGCCAUAACGAGCGCAACCCUUGUUGUCAGUUACUAACAGGUUCCGCUGAGGACUCUGACAAGACUGCCAUCGUAAGAUGUGAGGAAGGUGGGGAUGACGUCAAAUCAGCACGGCCCUUACGUCCGGGGCUACACACGUGUUACAAUGGGGGGUACAGAGGGCCGCUACCACGCGAGUGGAUGCCAAUCCCAAAAACCUCUCUCAGUUCGGACUGGAGUCUGCAACCCGACUCCACGAAGCUGGAUUCGCUAGUAAUCGCGCAUCAGCCACGGCGCGGUGAAUACGUUCCCGGGCCUUGUACACACCGCCC
rnacentral:rRNA from 1 species